UUAGCCUUGGGUCCUCACAUCACUCAAAUGGCCAGACUCCUAGAAGCUUGAUGGCACCUGGGAGAGGCUCUCACAAAGACGACAUUUCCUAGGCUGUCUUGUGGUUCAGGUGAAGUGAUGCAGGCCAUGCCCAGCUCUGCUCAUUCAGCCCCUUGUCCUUCCAGAGCAACCCAAGAGGUCAUUUGCCUACUGUGGCGGGAUCACAGGACAGCAACGCAGAAGAUACGGCCGUUUGCAACUUUGCAGAUACCAGCACAGGAAGAAAAACAUGGAAGACUGCUGAUAACCUAAUAUGACAGCUCCUGACUCAGUCAUGUGGGGAUCA